CCUUCGCCACGCCCGCUACAAGAAACUACGAAAAGGUAAGUUCGACGGGGCCCGCACAAGCGGUGGAGUAUGUGGUUUAAUUCGAUGCAACGCGAAGAACCUUACCUGGUCUUGACAUCCCGGAGACCCUUAGGAAACUAGGGGGUGCUUCCAUCUGGAAGAAUCUGGAGACAGGUGCUGCAUGGCUGUCGUCAGCUCGUGUCGUGAGAUGUUGGGUUAAGUCCCGCAACGAGCGCAACCCUUGCCUUUAGUUGCCAGCAGUUCGGCUGGGCACUCUAAAGGGACUGCCGGUGUUAAACCGGAGGAAGGUGGGGAUGACGUCAAGUCCUCAUGGCCUUUAUGACCAGGGCUACACACGUACUACAAUGGCCGAUACAAAGGGCAGCGACACUGCGAGGUGAAGCCAAUCCCGUAAAAUCGGUCUCAGUCCGGAUUGGAGUCUGCAACUCGACUCCAUGAAGUUGGAAUCGCUAGUAAUCGUGGAUCAGCAUGCCACGGUGAAUACGUUCCCGGGCCUU
rnacentral:rRNA from 1 species